GAUGAAGAACGCAGCGAAAUGCGAUAAGUAAUGUGAAUUGCAGAAUUCAGUGAAUCAUCGAAUCUUUGAACGCACCUUGCGCUCCUUGGUAUUCCGAGGAGCAUGCCUGUUUGAGUGUCAGUAAAUUCUCAAUCCCCUCUAGCUUUUGCAGUUGGGACUUGGAUAGUGGAGGUAUUUGCAGGCCCCCCUCUCGCUGAGAGGUGUCAGCUCCUCUGAAAUGCAUUAGCGGAACUGUUUGCGAUCCACGACAUGUGUGAUAAUUAUCUCCAUUACAGUGGGUCGCUUUCUUAAUGUUCAGCUGCUAACUGUCUUCUCUGUGAGACAACUUCUGAACCUUUGACCUCAAAUCAGGUAGGACUACCCGCUGAACUUAAGCAUAUCAAUAAGGCGGAGGA
rnacentral:misc_RNA from 1 species